rnacentral:rRNA from 1 species
UUGGUUAAGUUAGAAAGGGCGCACGGUGGAUGCCUUGGCACUAGGAGCCGAAGAAGGACGGGACUAACACCGAUAUGCUUUGGGGAGCUGUACGUAAGCGUUGAUCCAGAGAUUUCCGAAUGGGGGAACCCACUAUCUUUAGUCGGAUAGUAUCCUUACGUGAAUACAUAGCGUGAGGAAGGCAGACCCAGGGAACUGAAACAUCUAAGUACCUGGAGGAAGAGAAAGAAAAAUCGAUUUCCUGAGUAGCGGCGAGCGAAACGGAAAGAGCCCAAACCAAGAAGCUUGCUUCUUGGGGUUGUAGGACACUCUAUACGGAGUUACAAAAGAAAGUUAUAAAUGAAGCGGUCUGGAAAGGCCCGCCAAAGACGGUAACAGCCCGGUAGUUGAAAUGGCUUUCCCUCCAGAGUGGAUCCUGAGUACGGCGGAACACGUGAAAUUCCGUCGGAAUCCGGGAGGACCAUCUCCCAAGGCUAAAUACUCCCUAGUGACCGAUAGUGAACCAGUACCGUGAGGGAAAGGUGAAAAGCACCCCGGAAGGGGAGUGAAACAGUUCCUGAAACCGUGUGCCUACAAGUAGUUAGAGCCCGUUAAUGGGUGAUAGCGUGCCUUUUGUAGAAUGAACCGGCGAGUUACGAUUUGUUGCAAGGUUAAGCGGAAAAAGCGGAGCCGUAGCGAAAGCGAGUCUGAAUAGGGCGCAUAAGUAACAGGUCGUAGACCCGAAACCAGGUGAUCUACCCAUGUCCAGGAUGAAGGUAAGGUAAUACUUACUGGAGGUCCGAACCCACGCACGUUGAAAAGUGCGGGGAUGAGGUGUGGGUAGCGGAGAAAUUCCAAUCGAACUUGGAGAUAGCUGGUUCUCUCCGAAAUAGCUUUAGGGCUAGCCUCGAGGUAAAGAGUCAUGGAGGUAGAGCACUGUUUGGACUAGGGGCCCUUCUCGGGUUACCGAAUUCAGAUAAACUCCGAAUGCCAUGUACUUAUACUCGGGAGUCAGACUGCGAGUGAUAAGAUCCGUAGUCGAAAGGGAAACAGCCCAGACCACCAGUUAAGGUCCCCAAAUAUAUGUUAAGUGGAAAAGGAUGUGGGGUUGCUUAGACAACCAGGAUGUUGGCUUAGAAGCAGCCACCAUUGAAAGAGUGCGUAAUAGCUCACUGGUCGAGUGACCCCGCGCCGAAAAUGUACCGGGGCUAAACAUAUUACCGAAACUGUGGAUGAACCUCUUCGGAGGUUCGUGGUAGGAGAGCGUUCUAAGGGCGGUGAAGUCAGACCGGAAGGACUGGUGGAGCGCUUAGAAGUGAGAAUGCCGGUAUGAGUAGCGAAAGAAGGGUGAGAAUCCCUUCCACCGAAUAUCUAAGGUUUCCUGAGGAAGGCUCGUCCGCUCAGGGUUAGUCGGGACCUAAGCCGAGGCCGAUAGGCGUAGGCGAUGGACAACAGGUAGAGAUUCCUGUACCAGUGCUAAUUGUUUAACCGAUGGGGUGACACAGAAGGAUAGGGAAUCGCACGAAUGGAAAUGUGCGUCCAAGCAGUGAGUGUGAGAAGUAGGCAAAUCCGCUUCUUGCGAAGCAUGAGCUGUGAUGGGGAAGGAAAUUAAGUACGGAAGUUCCUGAUUUCACGCUGUCAAGAAAAGCCUCUAGGAAGAGUAGUACUGCCCGUACCGCAAACCGACACAGGUAGAUGAGGAGAGAAUCCUAAGGUGAGCGAGAGAACUCUCGUUAAGGAACUCGGCAAAAUGACCCCGUAACUUCGGGAGAAGGGGUGCUCUAUUAGGGUG